GGGGAGAUAGCUCAAGUGGUCUAGUACAUACUUAGCAUAUAUGAGGUCCUGGGUUCAAUCCCCAGUGGCUCCA
rnacentral:tRNA from 1 species